rnacentral:piRNA from 1 species
UGCUGUGGUAAAACACCAUGACCGAAGG